UACGAAGGGGGCUAGCGUUGCUCGGAAUCACUGGGCGUAAAGCGCACGUAGGCGGCUUCUUAAGUCGGUGGUGAAAUCCUGGAGCUCAACUCCAGAACUGCCUUCGAUACUGAGAGUCUUGAGUUCGGGAGAGGUGAGUGGAACUGCGAGUGUAGAGGUGAAAUUCGUAGAUAUUCGCAAGAACACCAGUGGCGAUGGCGGCUCACUGGCCCGAUACUGACGCUGAGGUGCGAAAGCGUGGGGAGCAAACAGG
rnacentral:rRNA from 1 species